GCAUUAGUAGCUCAGCGUCAGAGCGCCAGUCUUGUAAACUGGCUGUCGGAGGUUCAAAUCCCCCCUACUGCU
rnacentral:tRNA from 1 species